GGAAACAAAUGCUUGGUAUUUGUAGGACAUUGUGCGCUUGGAGUAACAUGCAAUUGUAGGAAAGAUCAACACAGAAAAGCAGAAUCCUGAGGCUGAGCUCAACCUGAUCUUGACUUGCUGAGUGGUAUCAGUCAUAGUUUCAAAAAUGUCAAAGGAGCCACAACUGAGCAUUUCUUCUGUUCCCACCUGUGCUUUGGGUUGUGAAAGAAUAACAUUAGUACAUAGAGACCUUGACUUCCUCUUGGAUGCAUCUGGAAGAUUUUAUUAGGCAGUCCACUGUGCCUGUGAUCUGUCUGAGAGCAGCUGAUGAUGAGCAUCGCCAAGAUAUUGCACUGGGCUGCUGAUAAUUUUGUCUUUUCAAUGACUUGAAAAACUGGAUUCAUGGAACAUCACUCUCGCAAACCACAGCCUCACCAUGGGGACAUCGGGGCAGCCACAGCUGUACUAAGUAUCUUCACCAGCAAUCUGUCACCCUCUGACAAAUCUUUUCUUCUUGAAGGUGACUGUGGGUGGUCUUCCCUUGUCCAAUUUCUGUAAAUUCGGUGCAUCGCUUUCUAGUCAUGCAGCUGAUACUUGUGUUUAUAUGAAUGGCUGUUAAAAAAAAAGGAAAGAUCAGAUGUUUGUUGUUUCAUUUCAACAUAAAUCAAACUUUGUACUCACAUAGCAAUUCUACUUUAGCCCCAGGAAUAGCUUUAGUAUUGCUAAGUGUCUGGAGAGUAUUGACUACAGAGACAUGAUUUUAAGCAGGCUAUAAUAGUUUCUACAGCUGUUAACAGUUCUCAGAAGAAAGGCAGUAUUAUUCACUAGUGUUUAAAAUGUGCAUGACUUGCAUUGCACAGAAGUCAGAUUGGGAGAAUGUCAGAAUUUUUUUCUGAAAUUCUGCCAGGAAAGUCUUCAAUAACUGGAGAAAUUCUUUUCACUGGUGAAAUCAACAUGCAGCACAUUGUGUUAUUAUACUUGCUUAUAGCUCACCAUGAAAGUUGUCUUUGUAUGCGUGGAUGUACGGCUUGUACUGUUUUGUUUUUAUUUAUUCUGCAUUCUUUAUUAUAAUGUUCUUUCCUUUUUUUCCAGACCAGAAAGAUUGUUAUUGAGCCUUCCACAAAGCUGAAAUAAUGCUGUGUGUUAAAAAAAUGUUAACAAUUUGAAGAAGUUAUAAAAAUUUAUAAGUUGGCUGAAUAGUUUAGAAAUUUCUGCAUAUUUUAAUAUAAAUAGGUAAUGCAAAUGUUUGUUCUUUGCAUUUAGAGGUGGGUCUCUGUUUUCUAAAGGUCUUGUAUAUAAAUUUGAUUCUUAAAAUUACAUUAGAACAAAACCAGUAUUUUUUUCAGAUUGUAUAAUAGGAAAAAUGUAUUCCAAAAGACAUAGAACAUACAUGGUUAUCUCUGAAUGUCAUAAAGUCAUGAAAUUCAAUAUAAAUAGCAUCAGUUGUUUGAAUGGCUUCAUUAAGUGCAUUUAGGGGACUGCCUGUUGCAGUCAGCUGAGGUCCUUCCAUUCAGUUCCACGGGUGCUGGGUUGGCCCACAAAGAAAAGACCAGUUAACUGAGAGAUAAAAGGAGGUGAUUUCUCUAUAGAUAGUAUGAAGUUCCAAAUGGUGCUGGUGUAGGUUAGAUAGAAAUGCAGUUACAUAAAAUCAAAGAAAUCACAGAAAAUGAAAUUAUUUCAGGUGAAUUUGGUAUUAGUGAUGAGUUUGAGCUUUAUUCAUAUCUAAAAACAUAGAACAAGACAAGUGAGUCCAAAAGAAAGAAAGGAAGAGUAGAAAUGGGUGACAGAGAAGAGGUGAGUGACAGGAUACCGGCAGGUGGGCAAGGACCUAAAUGGUGACAGACAGUUUUAACAACUAGUCCAAAAAGAUCAAAUGUUCAAAGGUUAUGAUCCACCAGAGGUGCUGAUUGGGUAAAUAACUGAAAAGACAGUCAUUAAGCUGCUUUUUGGAGGGGGUGGGGAGGGAGAGCAAUGCGAGUUUUGGGUGAUUGUACCACAGAGUAGAGAGGGUUUGUUAAGUUUCCCUGGAGGAGAAUGAAUGUCUGAUACUCCCAGACAAUUUCUUCACAAGCUGCUGUAGCAGCCAUGAGGAGUGACCUGGAGAGCUGCAGCUCUGGUGAUGUCCCCUGGCCUGCACACUGUGUGCAGCUGGGGUGCUUUGCCUGUGCUACUGGGGUACCUCUUCCAGCUUAGUCCCAUCUGAAGGGAAUCCAGGCUGUGCUCAGGGACUGCACAAGGAGUGGGGCAUUUGAGGGGCUGGCUCCAGAAGCUCACUGCUGCUCCAAACCUGGACACUGAUGGAAGUGUGCCCUGUAGAACCGUGGGGUGGCAGUGGUGGCGUGGCACAGGGCAGAGGGAAUACUCAGAAUGUACUGUUCUAUGUUACAGGUGCUAGCAGCAUGUGGAGCCGAGAGCAGUGAAAGCCCAAAGGAGUACUGCAUACACUGAAGAGGUCACCAGGAGCUGUUGUGCAGGUUUCUGGAAGAUCUCUCUCUGGGAGAAGGAGGGCUGCUGUGAGUCUUAUUUCACUGUGAUCAAGUUAUUCCUCCCAGACAGUGUGAAAGACAAAUCGGGGAGUUUUGGAUACCAUCUCUUGAAGAGAAUGAAUCUGGAUUCAAUGCAGCUGGCUGUAGAAAGAUUUCUUUAACUGGGAAGAUAUGACAGGUUGUGAUAUCGGACUGCAGUGAAGCUCCACCUGUGCUGUUCUACCCUUCAUGAGUGAGCAGUGCUGGGCAGUGCAGCAGGCAUGCUCCUGCCCUUUUCAGAAGGCGUGGAGAACACUUGUCCAGUCAUAACUGAAACCAUUCAAGAUGCACAGACCUGAAAUGUCACCUUAAGUUUCUGUUGCUCUCUGAUGCGGAUCCUGUCUUCUAGCAAACUUUAUGGACAACAGCUUUUGUUACAAGGAGAGAUGGUUUGAUCCUCUCCUUAAUGCAAGCCCCACACCUUCACCUAGAUUCCUUCCUGGGCAGCUGCAGUGGAUCUGAACACCAAGGGAAUUUGACCCACUGGAUUCCUUUCCUUUCUCUGCAGUUGAAUGAAAAGUGUGUGUCUUUUGAAGAACAGCAACUGAAAGAAAUAUUGAUGACUGCCAGAGCAUCUACAGAAAAGGAUAAGAAAAUUACAACAACAGUGGAGACAAAGGGGCUUUGUUAACUCUUUCUUGUAGGUUGUAUAUAUUAAUAGAAACAAGUAAAGUUUUGUAUUUUUUAAGAGAAACACACAAGGCUUUGAACUGUAUUGUUUUAAUUGCAGCUAACUGAAUGAAUUAAGUGGAAAAGUGCACACAGUACUUUGAUUGUCUAACUCUCUGUAUGUGAGGCUUGGGGAACAGUUUGUUAUUAUAAAAGAAUAGUACUAACAAGAAAACAGCCAGCAUGUAAUUGCUGGGUUGAGGGGCAGUUUGGGGAAGGCUGAUACUUAUUUAUAAAUUAUUAAAUAAAAGCACAUAAUAAGUGGAUUAUC